rnacentral:pre_miRNA from 10 species
UUAUGUGGUCAGGAGCUAUGCUCUGCUCUGGCUGGUCAAACGGAACCAAGCCCAUCUUCCUCGGAGGUUUGGUCCCCUUCAACCAGCUAUAGCAGUGUUGAAAACAUCAAGCCAGGAAG